UCGAAUAGAAGAGGUGCAAUACUUCAAGAGUAGAAUCAGAGAGACCGUUAAGGGUCGAAGAGCUGGUUUGAAAGGGGAGGUUGCCGAAAUGGGGUCAUCCUUAACGAUGAUGCUGUUGGGUCCUGGUUUAACAAAUCAGGGACUGUCGUAACCAGAUAGGGUUGCGGAGCGCUUUCUACGAUU
rnacentral:ncRNA from 2 species